UGCCAGCCGCCGCGGUAAUACGAAGGGAGCUAGCGUUGUUCGGAAUUACUGGGCGUAAAGCGUGCGUAGGCGGAUCGACAAGUUGGGGGUGAAAUCCCGGGGCUUAACCCCGGAACUGCCCUCAAAACUGUCGAUCUAGAGACCGGGAGAGGUAAGCGGAAUUCCUAGUGUAGAGGUGAAAUUCGUAGAUAUCUGGAGGAACAUCAGUGGCGAAGGCGGCUCCCUGGCCAAAGACUGACGCUCAUGUGCGAAAGUGUGGGUAGCGAACAGGAUUAGAUA
rnacentral:rRNA from 1 species